rnacentral:rRNA from 1 species
GACAGAGGGUGCAAACGUUGCUCGGAAUUACGUGGACGUAAAGCGCGUGUAGGCGGACCACCAAGUCGGACGUGAAAUCCCCAGGCUUAACCUGGGAACUGCAUCCGAUACUGGAUGGCUUGAAUCCGGGAGAGGGAUGCAGAAUUCCAGGUGUAGCGGUGAAAUGCGUAGAUAUCUGGAGGAAUACCGGUGGCGAAGGCGGCAUCCUGGACCGGCAUUGACGCUGAUGAGCGAAAGCUAGGGAGCAAACGGG